rnacentral:tRNA from 1 species
GAUAAAAUAGUUUAAAUUAAAACUCUGGUCUUGUAAGCCAAAAAUAGUCAUAUCAGACUUAUUAUCU